CACGUAGGGGGCAAGCGUUGUCCGGAUUUAUUGGGCGUAAAGAGCUCGUAGGUGGUUCGGUAAGUCGGGUGUUAAACCCCCAGGCUCAACCUGGGGACGCCACUCGAUACUGCUGUGACUAGAGUCCGGUAGGGGAGCGUGGAAUUCCUGGUGUAGCGGUGAAAUGCGCAGAUAUCAGGAGGAACACCAGCGGCGAAGGCGGCUCUCUGGGACGGUACUGACGCUGAGACGCGAAAGCGUGGGGAGCGAACAGG
rnacentral:rRNA from 1 species